rnacentral:rRNA from 1 species
AUGCAUGAGCAGUGGCGGAGAGGAGGCAUGGCACUCCGGAGGCUGCUUCAGGGGAUUGUCCUACCGCGGACGACGGGCCGGCAUGUUGGGGCAUCGUUUUCCACGGAGGCUGGGGAGACUAUCCGCGCAACCCUGUUUCCCGGUGAUGGCAUCGGGCCUGAGAUCGCCGAGUCGGUCAAGCAGGUAUUCAAUGUUGCAGGUGUACCGAUAGAAUGGGAAGAACAUUAUGUUGGUACGGAAGUUGAUCCCAGAACAGAGAGCUUUUUGACAUGGGAGAGCCUGGAGUCUGUGCGUAGAAACAAAGUUGGCUUGAAAGGUCCUAUGGCUACACCUAUUGGAAAAGGCCACCGUUCUUUGAAUCUUACAUUAAGGAAAGAACUUGGACUCUACGCCAAUGUCAGACCUUGCAACAGCCUCCCAGGCUACAAGACUAGAUAUGAUGAUGUGAACCUUGUGACAAUCCGUGAAAAUACUGAAGGAGAGUAUAGUGGCCUUGAGCAUCAGGUUGUGAGGGGUGUUGUGGAAAGUUUGAAAAUUAUUACCCGCCAAGCAAGUUUGAGAGUGGCAGAGUAUGCUUUCCAUUAUGCCAAAGCCAAUGGCAGGGAGAGGGUCUCUGCGAUACAUAAAGCUAAUAUCAUGAGGAAAACAGACGGACUUUUCCUCAAGUGUUGCCGUGAAGUAGCUGAGAAGUACCCUGAAAUCACAUAUGAGGAAGUCAUUAUUGACAAUUGCUGCAUGACACUCGUGAAGAAUCCUGGUACAUUUGAUGUAUUAGUGAUGCCAAAUCUGUAUGGUGACAUUAUUAGUGAUCUAUGUGCUGGUUUGAUCGGAGGAUUGGGCUUAACUCCCAGCUGCAACAUUGGUGAAGGUGGCAUUUGUCUGGCAGAGGCUGUUCAUGGUUCUGCACCUGAUAUCUCUGGCAAGAACCUUGCAAACCCAACUGCUCUUAUGUUGAGUGCUGUUAUGAUGUUGCGCCACUUGCAAUUCAAUGACCAAGCAGACCGGAUCCACAAUGCCAUCCUCCAGACAAUUGCCGAGGGGAAGUACAGAACCGCUGAUCUUGGUGGGAAGUCAUCAACAUCAGACUACACAAAAGCAGUUUGCGAUCAUAUCUGA